rnacentral:misc_RNA from 1 species
UGCAAUUGGUAAAGGCUUCGAAUUCAAAGAAACUAACAAGGGAACCUACGACUUUUAAAACUGAAUUUUUAGGAAUUGGAAAAGUAAAAGGUAUUUCCAAAACUGUAGUGUGAUCGCCCGGAAACGAAACGCGAAAAAUAGAUCCUGCUUACAUGAAGUAUCUCCGAGUAAUAUUGUAACCCUCAGCUGUGCCGAAUGUUCGUGGGCUUCGUCGGAUUCGAAACUUCGAUCAAAUCACAUCAGAGUUCUGCUAUCUGGGCUGCAGUAACCAAUUUAUUCACGACAGGACAUCUUUGGAAUACCGAAUAGAAGGCUUCACGUCACCAAUGUAACAUGAGCGCGGAGUUGCGAAAAUCUGCUGGCUCAGAUAUCAAGCGACUGCAGGAGAUGGUCAAGCGGCUGGAGGAACAGAAUGCGCAACUGAAAAAUACUGAUAACCGGCGAACACCGAACAAAGGUGAAGACAACAUGGUGAAAGUCAAGUUAAAUUUGGAUGAUGUCCCUUUAUUGGAUUUAAACGCAAUGGUAGAAGAAGAUGAAGAUACUUGGUUAUAUGUGUCCCCAAAACACCCACCAUCAGCAGAACAGAAAAAGAUCAGUCCCUAUAAAUAUCUGAAGGACAGUUUAGAUGUACCUGAACUCAAUAAAGUGAGAGGAUCUCUUUUGGCAAAACUGGAGUCAAUUGCAGCACAGGAAGAAGCUCUUUCAAGAUCUCCUCCCCAUUCUAGUGUGGAUGGUCGUCAUAAUUCUUCAGUGCAGUCAAGACCUCCUCAUGACAAUAGUUCAGUUGAAACUACAAUGCCGCUGAGUGAUGAUGACGAUGAUGAUCAUGUUCAAGUCACACCACGUAGACGUGUUCCUUUAACAACUGCAAGCCUCGAUGAUUCUGAUCUAGUUGUGAAAGGUCUGAGAAGAAGAGGAGCACCAUCAAAGCCAAUACCAUCAGCAAAUUCACCUCAGAACUCAAGACCAGUGAAUGAAGAUGAUGACAGUGAUGAUAACAGUGCACAAUACAUACCACAGAGACGUGUUCCAGCAUUUAAUUCUUCUAGUCAGGAGAAUUCAAGCCUAGUAGUAAAAGGUCCACUGAAACGAAGAGGAGCAUCACCUCAGCCAAGAGCAUCACUUGGUUAGUGUUAACACAUAGUAAAGUCUUUGUAAAAUCAUGUGUAACUAGUAAUGAAUCCAAACAGAUUGGAAGUAAUACUCAGUCAAUCCAUGUUGUGCAUAUCAGGAUAUAAGGCCCCAAAGAACACUCAACAGCACUGGCACCAGACCUUUGCCAACUUGUAACCCUCCAAAACUCCAACCAUUUUCUACUAUCUCUUGCUCCACGACUCAUUUCUAUGUCCCCCUUGGUCCUGAACCCAAGAAGAAAUUGAGCAGGCCAUCUUGUUCCUUUUCCAUGUAUUUAGAAUGGUCGUAUAUUGUUAAAAGGAAGACAUCAAUGCUGUAUUUAAUAGUUAUGAAAGAGGAAUAAAAUUUGUCUCUUGUGAAUCUCUGAUUGUGCAUGUAUAUAUGCUGAAAAGUGAUGAAACUGUAACAGUUUUAAAUUUCAGUGAAGGUGAUUAUUUUAGGUACAUUAUAUACGAUAAGCAUUUCAAAAAUAAAUUUAGCUUUAUAUGUGUUUAUUAACAACAUGUGGCUUCAUUGCAAUUAGAUGAUGAAAAUGAUAGUGAUGGUGUAGUUAAACAAAGACGUAACCAAGUAUCUCAAGAACAUGAGGACUUGGUGGUGAAAGGUCCAUUACGGAGAAGAGGGCCUGGAACUCCUCAAGCAAGACAACCAGCGGCAGCUGGUCCACUGAAAAGGAGAGGAGAAUCCCCCCAGUCCAGAGCGUCACUUAAUGUGGCGUCAUUUGAAAUG